UCUUGUGUUCUUCAACAGAGCAAGAGGGUGGGACUGGACGCCCUCUAGUAUAGACAAGAUCCAUGAUGACCACGAUGGUUGCUAGUCAAGCCCUGGAACUGAGGUCUCCUGAUGCCCAGCUGUAAACGGUUCUUUGAGCUUGUCUGGAGGCCAUGAUUCCAAAGUCAGAAACCCAUAACCCACUUGCAGUCCUGUGGGAACCAACAGAUCGAGUCUAUCAGCUGCACAGCCCUUCACGGGGUGGACGUGCCGUGAGACCAUGAUUUAUUGAGCCAUCCCGAGUGAUGGACGCUUGGCUGUUUCUCAUCUUCACCUGCUGUAAUAAAUUAUGCUGCAGUGAAUAACCUUGUCAAUAUGUCACUUCACGUGCUUGCAAGACUAUCUGUAGGAGAAGCCCCCAGAAGAGGAAUUACCGGGUUAACUGGCACAUGCAAUAUUUGUAAUUUUCAUAGAUAUUACCAAAUAGAUAUUACCUGCCCCUCCAGGGGGUCUCCCCCAAAUAACGAAUGUGGAGCUUGUUUCUCCACAAUCUCUACGACAGAGUAGAUAAACUCCUGGCUUUUGGCCAACUUGAAGAUAAACAAUAUCUCAGUGUAAUUUUCAUUUGCGUUUCUCUUCUUAUGAAUAAGGUCAAGCAACUGUUCGUAUAUUUAAGGGCCA